UCGCUGCAGACCAACCAUCCAACAAGUAAAGCAGUUAGAGGUGGUAGUUUCCCUAUUACUAGAAUGUUGUACUAUCUUAUAUAGCAUUUCUUUUAUUCUCCUGUUUGAAGGAAGGCAGGGGGAUACAUUUAAAAGGAAUCAGAACUUUGAACUUUCUUCUGCCUAAUGCUAACUUUGAAAAGUCAUUAACAGUCCUACCCACCUUGAUCCUUGUCCAACAAAAACAACCUUUAUGUCAAGUUGUACACAGUUGCAGAAAAGGACACCACUAGUAAUUGUCAAAUAAAAACACCCAAUUCUCUAUUUGCUUUUUGAUAAAGCAAAUCUCACAUAACAUUGUAUUCAAAGAUUUUUUUUGGUUACAUAUGAACACAAUUUAAGAAUAAAAUACGAGAGAUCAUGUGUGUGUCCCUGUAGGCAUGUGUGUGACAGAGUGUGCGAAAAGGGUCCAAAGAAGAGGGAGUUUUUUUUGGUUACAUAUGAACACAAUUCAAGAAUAAAAUACGAGAGAUCAUGUGUGUGUCCCUAGGCAUGUGUGUGACAGAGUGUGCGAAAAGGGUCCAAAGAAGAGGGAGUGGCAGGAUUAAUUUUUUUUGUUUUUUAUUAAGUUAGAUAUUUAUUAGAAAAGGUGAACAAAUGUCAACAAUUCCCUUUUUCUUUUACCAUGCUCAUCCAAAUCAAUAAAUUAUUUUUUAGUUAUUCAACAAAACCAAUAAAUUUUUUUAAUGAAAAUGCUAACUCAC
rnacentral:lncRNA from 1 species